UACGGAGGGGGCUAGCGUUGUUCGGAAUUACUGGGCGUAAAGCGCACGUAGGCGGCUUUGUAAGUUAGAGGUGAAAGCCCGGGGCUCAACUCCGGAAUUGCCUUUAAGACUGCAUCGCUUGAAUUGUGGAGAGGUGAGUGGAAUUCCGAGUGUAGAGGUGAAAUUCGUAGAUAUUCGGAAGAACACCAGUGGCGAAGGCGACUCACUGGACACAUAUUGACGCUGAGGUGCGAAAGCGUGGGGAGCAAACAGG
rnacentral:rRNA from 1 species